rnacentral:lncRNA from 1 species
UGGAUGUUAACUUUGACACAACACAACCAUCAAAGUUAAAACUAACAGCAAAUAAAUGGAAGGUAAUUCAAAGGUUUAGUAAAGUUAUGCCUAUUGAUUUAUCAUAUACUCUAGAACAAAGAUAAUCAUAAUAUUUUGUCCAAAAAAAAUAUGUACUAACACCAUUCUGUUUAUACUCCGCUGAAAAUAUUCUUGUUUUAGCUUUAAACUGUGAGGUGAGAAUAAAUGUCAUUUCUGCAACAAUUUGUUAUUUUCUCUCUGUUUUCUCACAUGCUUAUCUCCUAAACAACAUAACCCAUCAUCUUAAACUCCCUAGACCAUUUAUUAUAAUAGUAAAAUACUCAUGCAUAUCUGCAUCACAAGGUGCUCGCACGUUGCAGCUUGGAAUUCAUAUCCAAAAAGGUAAUGCUAACACAGUUCAUGGUAGCUCUCAAUGUGAAUCCAGCAGGAUCGUGUCUUGCAUAUUAUGCCCACAGAUUAUGUGGCUACUUUCUCUGUCUCGUGAACCAACAGGGACACAACCAUACCAUUUCUUGUAUUCUCAUACAGAUAAAGGAACAAACAUUCAAUUAAAUAAAACAGUAGCUACGAGCUUCUCUUUAUAUGACCUUUCCACCCACCAAAUUACCUCCUUUAGCUGUUUGGUGAUGGGAAAACAAGCCUGCAAUUACUGCAUUUUAGUUGACAGUUGACUGGCUUCCGCAUGAUAGACAUAAAUAGUCUCGUCAUCUGUAGGCUAUAAAACUUUAUUGUACUUGACUCUCUAUGUAAAAGACAGCAAGAGGUAACAAAGAAAAGAUAAGGAAACGAAAGAGGGAUAAACAUACUUCAAUAGUGUGCAAGAUAUAGCCUUUACUUGGAA